rnacentral:snoRNA from 1 species
GCGCUGUGAUGACGAUUUUUCCUGCCAUUCGUAGUUUCCACCAGAGGUCUUAAGGACCAAAGAUGGCUUAAAUCUUCCUUGGAUGUCUGAGCGA